ACAGGGAUUGCCCUAGUAACGGCGAGUGAAGCGGCAACAGCUCAAAUUUGAAAUCUGGCUUCGGCCCGAGUUGUAAUUUGUAGAGGAUGCUUUGGGCGCGGCUCUAACUGAGUUCCCUGGAACGGGACGCCACAGAGGGUGAGAGCCCCGUAUAGUUAGAUGCCUAGCCUAUGUAAAGCUCCUUCGACGAGUCGAGUAGUUUGGGAAUGCUGCUCUAAAUGGGAGGUAAAUUUCUUCUAAAGCUAAAUAUUGGCCAGAGACCGAUAGCGCACAAGUAGAGUGAUCGAAAGAUGAAAAGCACUUUGAAAAGAGGGUUAAAUAGCACGUGAAAUUGUUGAAAGGGAAGCGCUUGUGACCAGACUUGCGCCGGGCAGAUCAUCCGGUGUUCUCACCGGUGCACUCUGCCCGGCUCAGGCCAGCAUCGGUUCUCGUGGGGGGAUAAAGGUCCCGGGAACGUAGCUCCUCCGGGAGUGUUAUAGCCCGGGGCGUAAUGCCCUCGUGGGGACCGAGGUUCGCGCAUCUGCAAGGAUGCUGGGCGUAAUGGUCAUCAGCGACCCCGUCUUGAAACACGGACCAAGGAGUCAAGGUUUUGCGCGAGUGUUUGGGUGUAAAACCCGCACGCGUAAUGAAAGUGAACGUAGGUGAGAGCUUCGGCGCAUCAUCGACCGAUCCUGAUGUAUUCGGAUGGAUUUGAGUAAGAGCGUUAAGCCUUGGACCCGAAAGAUGGUGAACUAUGCUUGGAUAGGGUGAAGCCAGAGGAAACUCUGGUGGAGGCUGGCAGCGGUUCUGACGUGCAAAUCGAUCGUCAAAUCUGAGCAUGGGGCGAAAGACUAAUCGA
rnacentral:rRNA from 1 species